rnacentral:rRNA from 1 species
GACGAACGCUGGCGGCGUGCUUAACACAUGCAAGUCGAACGGAAAGGCCCCCAUCUUGGUGGGGGUGCUCUAGUGGCGAACGGGUGAGUAACACGUGGGUGAUCUGCCUUUUACUUCGGGAUAAGCUUGGGAAACUGGGUCUAAUACCGGAUAGGACCAUGGUUUGGUGUCUCAUGGUGGAAAGAUUAUUUUUUUUGUGCAGGAUGAGCUGGCUGCCUAUCAGCUUGUUGGUUGGGUAAUUGCCUACAAAGGUGGGGACGGGUGGCGGGCCGGAGAGGGUGGACGGUGAAAUUGGGACUGGGACACGGCCCAGACGGCUACGGGAGGCAGGAGUGCGGACGCUUGGAGCAUGGGCGCAAGCGUGAUGCAGCGCCGGCGCGUGGGGGAUGACGGGCUUCGGGUUGUCAGCUACUUGCGUUAGGCAAGAAGCCAAGUUUUUAGGGUGUGCUGAACGUAACUUUGUCAAGAAGCAACGGCUAACUACGUG